AAGGAUCCACGGACGGUAUGAAAAUACGAGAAAAAGGAACUGGACAAGCCAAAAGAAACAUAGGUUUGAUUGUCAAAUUGAACUUGUACUAGCAUUGGUAUUCUUUUUUCGUGUAUGUGAUUGCAGAUUUACUUAAUUUUUUAAUACUGGUUAUCAUUUGUUUCCGCGUAGGAUUGUUUAAAAAAUUACACAUAUAUAUCAAAACAUCCGUGGAUCGAUUGCAUAGAAUCGGUUUUUUAAUUUUU
rnacentral:ribozyme from 1 species